rnacentral:rRNA from 1 species
UAAGGAAUAUUGGACAAUGGGCGCAAGCCUGAUCCAGCCAUCCCGCGUGCAGGAUGACGGCCCUAUGGGUUGUAAACUGCUUUUAUUAGGGAAGAAACCCCUGGAUUUAUCCGGGGCUGCCGGUACCUAAUGAAUAAGCACCGGCUAACUCCGUGCCAGCAGCCGCGGUAAUACGGAGGGUGCAAGCGUUAUCCGGAAUCACUGGGUUUAAAGGGUGCGUAGGCGGCGUCAUAAGUCAGGGGUGAAAGCCCGCAGCUCAACUGUGGAAUUGCCCUUGAUACUGUGGUGCUUGAAUCAGGUUGAGGCAGGCGGAAUGUGGCAUGUAGCGGUGAAAUGCUUAGAUACGCCAUAGAACACCGAUUGCGAAGGCAGCUUGCUGGACCUGCAUUGACGCUGAGGCACGAAAGCGCGGGGAGCGAACAGGAUUAGAUACCCUGGUAGUCCACGCCCUAAACGAUGCUUACUCGAUGUGUGAGUCGUAGACUUGCGCAUCCAAGGGAAACCGUUAAGUAAGCCACCUGGGGAGUACGUUCGCAAGAAUG